rnacentral:rRNA from 1 species
AUUGGACAACCAUGGCAGUCACGGGUAACGGGGAAUUAGGGUUCGAUUCCGGAGAGGGAGCCUGAGAAAUGGCUACCACUUCUAAGGAAGGCAGCAGGCGCGUAAAUUACCCAAUCCUGAUUCAGGGAGGUAGUGACAAGAAAUAACAACUCGGGUCCCUCACGGGACUGCGAGAUUGCAAUGAGAACAAUUUAAACCACUUAUCAAGGAACAAUUGGAGGGCAAGUCUGGUGCCAGCAGCCGCGGUAUUCCAGCUCCAAUAGCGUAUAUUAAAGUUGUUGCAGUUAAAAAGCUCGUAGUUGAAUUUCUGGCUGGCGCUGUCCUCGGCUCCCUGAGUCGGUUCAGCGCUUAGUCAUCCGUAUGGGAAGCUAGCUCGGCCUUCACUGGUCGGCUAGUGGAUCAUACACUUUACUUUGAAAAAAUUAGAGUGUUUCAGGCAGGCAAUUGCUUGGAUACUGCAGCAUGGAAUAAUGGAAUAGGACUUUGACCUAUUUGUUGGUUUCUCGAGGUCAAAGUAAUGAUUAAUAGGGACAGUUGGGGGCAUUCGUAUUUAAUUGUCAGAGGUGAAAUUCUUGGAUUUAUUAAAGACGAACUUAUGCGAAAGCAUUUGCCAAGGAUGUUUUCA